CCUAGGGUGGCUGCCGUGGGGAAUAUUGCACAAUGGGCGCAAGCCUGAUGCCGCCAUGCCGCGUGUGUGAAGAAGGCCUUCGGGUUGUAAAGCACUUUCAGCGGGGAGGAAGGCGUUAAGGUUAAUAACCUUGGCGAUUGACGUUACCCGCAGAAGAAGCACCGGCUAACUCCGUGCCAGCAGCCGCGGUAAUACGGAGGGUGCAAGCGUUAAUCGGAAUUACUGGGCGUAAAGCGCACGCAGGCGGUCUGUCAAGUCGGAUGUGAAAUCCCCGGGCUCAACCUGGGAACUGCAUUCGAAACUGGCAGGCUAGAGUCUUGUAGAGGGGGGUAGAAUUCCAGGUGUAGCGGUGAAAUGCGUAGAGAUCUGGAGGAAUACCGGUGGCGAAGGCGGCCCCCUGGACAAAGACUGACGCUCAGGUGCGAAAGCGUGGGAAGCAAACGGGAUUAGAUACCCCUGUAGUC
rnacentral:rRNA from 1 species